UCACCGCUGCCUAUAUUCAAACCCAUCACCCAUGUCUCUUGCAUCAUAAACAGUUCUACUUCCAUCCUCAUAUCAGAUCUAACUAUGAUAGGUACAUUUUAUUUUUUAGAUACAUGAUUUUUAUUCUUUGCUAAUUAUAUUCAAAUUAAGUCUUUUAUUAUGAUGAAUUGGAUCUAGAUCUAUGUUUAUUAUUAAUCAUUAUAUCAUUUUGUGUUUGCAUAUGUGCACUAACAUAUACUAUUGAUUUGUUGUUUUUACAGUGAAACCACCGAAGAUUUUUACCAUUUGUUCCGGUGAAAUGCUCAUUGUUGAUGAGUUUGCUACAACCGUGAUUUCUUUGAUUAGCCAACACAAUAUACCAGGUCUUUUUUUGUGGCAUUAUUUAAUAUAAUUAUUUGAUUUAAGGGAAAGGAAAGAUCAUUUAUAUUAAAUAAUGUUGUGGGAAGAUUUUUGCUACAUUCAAAUGCAAAAAAAUUAAAACAAAAUAGAAUUUUCACUGCGAUUUUUCAACGGCAUGAGGGCACAUAUCAUAGAAUUUUCAUUUCCAUAGUUCUCCUUUUUAAUUUUUUUUUAUUUCUCAAAAAUAUCAUUUUGUUGUAAUUUUAGUUCUAACUCCACAAUUUGACCUCUAAUAAUUGCGAUCUUUGGCCCAAAAUUUAGUGAUUUAUUUCACCAAUUUGGAAGAGCAAAUAUAACAUUUUCCGGACAAUAUUCACAAAUUUUGAGGCCAAAAUCACGAAAAAUGUAUUGGGCUAAAAUUGCAACAAUUAUGAUACUUAUGGGACUUAAAAAUUUAAUUUUUAAAAGAUUUCACGAGCAUAGUGAGUAGAGCCGGGUAUACGGACCAAGGUCCGCGGGCCGACCCGUUUAACCCGCAGCCCGCACAGACUUAAGACCAAAUUUUUUUGGCCCGUUUACAUUUUUGCCCGUGUGGGUUGGACCGUUAAAAUCGCGGGUUAUGUGGGUUAAAUCCGCGGGUUAGCCCGUGGCCCGCCUUCUUUUUUUUAUAUAAUUAAUUACAAAAUUUAUCAGAUAUAAAUAACUUGAUCCAUGUCCAAAUUCAAUUUUUUUAACCACAAAAAAAAAAACUUAGUCUAAACCCUAAUUAUAAAAAAGCAACAACACACUACAAUUUUAAUCAAGUAGACAACAACACAAAACAUCAGGAUUCAGACAUGUUCUUCUACUUAUAAUCUUUUGUUCUUUUUCACUAUAUUUUACUUUGUCUUAGCUGUAUAUACAUUUGAUAGUAUUUAAAAGAUAAAUGUCCAAAUGGGUAGUUAUUUUUCUUGGGGGUAUUUUCCGCUAUUAUGUUUUGAAUAAUUUGGUUAUCUUGAUGUGAUUUAGUUAAGUUGAAUCUGUUAAUCUNNNNNNNNNNNNNNNNNNNNNNNNNNNNNNNNNNNNNNNNNNNNNNNNNNNNNNNNNNNNNNNNNNNNNNNNNNNNNNNNNNNNNNNNNNCUUUUUAUGCUUUUUUGGGUACAUGUAGAAAGUUUUUCUCACUAAAAUGGACGGUACAAAAAUGACGAUAAAAAUCAGUUGAAUUUGAUUUUAGUUGCAUUACUUACAAAGAGGAGAUAGAUAAACUCAAUGAUAUCACAAACUUUAUUUAUUUUUAUUUGUUAGUUACAAGUUAUAUGUUAUAACAUAAAAUUAUUAAUAAUAUAUUUUUUUAAGCUUUCAUUAUAUCAAUAUUUUACUAAUUUAGUUUAUUUUUUGAAAAAAGCGAUUUUUUAUUUUUUUUUUGCUAAUAGUCCGCGGGUUAACCGUUUAACCCGCGGACUUAUGCGGACCGGACUCGGACUUAAUAUUAUAACUCGUUUAUAUUUGCCGACGGGCUUGUUCGCCCCGUUUANNNNNNNNNNNNNNNNNNNNNNNNNNNNNNNNNNNNNNNNNNNNNNNNNNNNNNNNAGCCCGCAUACCCAGCUCUAAUAGUGAGAAGAAAAAUGUAAUUAAACUAAAAUUAAAGCUAACUUAGAAAAUAAAUAAACUAUUAAAGGUAUAUACAUUGUGUCAAAAAAAAAAUAGAUACAAAACAUUUUUUGAAAUUUACAAAUGUAGCAAGGGCAAGCCUUAAAUUUUGGUGUAUAAAAAACAAAAUAUUUAAUUUUUACUAAAUAAAUAAUGAGGUAAGUGGGGGCAGUUGCCUCCAAUUCAAAACACUUUGCAUCCAUUCCUGAUUCCUUACACAAUGCAUCUCACAAAAGCUACUGUCACAAAACUCACAAAAGUUAUCGUUUCUCACAAAACUCAUUGCAGAUGGAGGAACUUGUGCUCCAGCAGACGGGGCAGAUCACCGGUGGGAUUAGAGUUUGUUGUGGAACUGGUGGAUGUGGUGGGAUUAGGGCUAAUUGUUGUAUGUCGCGAGUGUUGUUGUGAUUGAAAUUGAUCCUCAACUUCUCUAGAUCAAUAAAAUUAGUUGGGUUCAUUGGAGUUUGAGUUAUUGUGUGAUGUUUUGAGUGGAAAUAAUGUUAAUGGUGGUCGUGAUGAUAUGCUGCGUAGGAAUAAUAUCUAUCUGCAAAACUUGAUUAAAGUCUUCAUCAAUGUCUCGGUGCCUAAAGGUCCUUCAACAACGCAUCAACUAUGUUUGUGUUUGUGGCAGGGGUAUACUCCUUAGUCCUUAGGUGCAAGUGUACUAUUUUAUAUUUGUAUUGAGGAGUUUGUAAUUUAAAAUAUAAAGAAUGAAUAAAGAUGUUUCUAUUUUGCAUUGCACCGAUUUUUGCUUGGUUUGCACUAUUAAUUUUACUAUUUUAGCGUAACGCCUAUGGAGGAAAAAAUUAGAGUAAAUCGUUUCGUUGUAUAUUUUAAAAGUUCUAGCUACUUGCUUGAUAUUGUUGAAAAUUUGCCACAUCUCAAUAUUAAGGGCAAUUUAAUUCAUCGUAAAAUACUUUUUUUUUUGUUUAUAUAAUUAACAAAGUAAUAUUUUUGUAUUACUUUUACAUUUUGUAGUAUUAAUUUAUAUUGGGAUCUCAAUGAAAUAAUGAGCUUUGCAUUCAUUUGUUAAUGGGUAAAAUAUGUUUUCAGUCCAUACUUUUAUGUAGAGUUUUUGUUUUUGUCUCUAUACUUUAAAAUCACUCUUUUUAGUCCUCAAUUAAUUUUCAGUUUUGGUUUUAGUCUUAGAUAUUAAGUCAACUAACAGUUGACUAACAAAAGUCCACAUGGCGUCGACACGUUGGAUUCCACAUGUGGCAUCCUACGUGAACUGCAACGUCAUUUUUUAAUUUUUAAAAAAAUUAAUUAAUAUUUUUUUAAAAAAUAAAUAAAUAAUUUUUUUGCCAAUAAUAAUUAAAAACCGUUUCUUUUAUUUAAAAUAAAAAUGAAAUUAUUUAAUCAAUAUUUUUACUAUUAUUUUUUAUUUUUAAUCUUUUUUUAUUAAAUCUAUUUUUUUAGAAAAAAAAUAAUCAAUGUUUAUUUUACAACUUUAAAAAAAAAAAAACUGACGUGACAGUUCACAUAGGAUGCCACGUGUCAACAAAAUCCAACAUGGCAACGCCAUAUAGAUUUUCAUUAGUCAACAAUUAGUUGACUUAACAUUUUAGACUAAAAUCAAAACUGAAAAUUAAUUAAGGACUAAAAAAAAUGAUUUUAAAGUAUACGGAUCAAAACCAAAAUUCAAUAUAAAAGUAUGACUAAAAAUAUAUUUUAUCCUUUGUUAAUUCAUAAUAAGAUGUUACGGCUGCCAGAGUUCCUAAUUUGCACACUCGAGGACAAUAAAAAAAGUAGAAAAGUUACCAUAAUUGGCUUUUGAGCAAGAAUUAGCGGCGUCUUAAACGUGCAUAUCAACUCAAGAAGCACAUGCAAGCACAUACCUACUUUUAGAAGAUGUUUGUUCCUACAUCAAAAAUAGAAACAUAUAAGUAUACUAUACUCACCAAACUUAAGGGAGAAGAUGAUGAUGGUGAUUUAAAAAAGCAACAGCUUAGAUAAGUGAGAGUAAGGUGGACUAUUUUAGCUGUCAUUUUCCCUUUUUAUCCUUAGAAAUUAUGAGGUUAAUUAUUACAUACUAUACCCUAAUGUUUCUUCUACUUGGGUUAUGGAUUUUUUUUUUAUGGCUCGGUUUGGUUAUCAUCAUUCCGCCUAAUUAUCUCUUCUUUCUCUUUGAAGGUAUUAGUGGUACAGUUGGUCAUAAAAUGAAGCGGAAAGGUUUUUGGGUGAUUUGGCUUGCAACCUUAUAGGAGAUUUGGAAGUCGAGAAAUGAGGUGAUUUUCAAUAAUGGAGUUAUCGACGCAAAGGCUGCGGAUGAAAUAGAAAAGUGGUUACGAGUGGUCUAAUAAAGAUGCCUUCUUGCUUGUUUUACGAGUGAUCAUGGGAUCCCUGGAAUUUUUUGAUCAGGUAACUUUGGUUUCAGUUGCUACCAUAGUUGCAGGGGAUAGUAUAUAUAAACAAAAUUAUGUUACAUACUAAUUCUAGUAAACAACGUAGUAAUCUUUUUGUAACAGAAAAAAAACAAAAAAAAAAAACAACAAAGCUAGUUCUUGACGGUAUCGAAAUGUAACAAUUUGUUCUUCAUGAAUACCUCGAUUCAGUGCUAAAAUAAGAUAAAUAAAUCAUCCAUAUUCUUUUUUAUCUCUCACAAAUACUAGCUUUCAUAAUCAUGGUUUUUCUAAUGUGUACAAUUUUUUCUUCGUUUCAAAGAGCCAAUGACAAAACUCACACACAAAAUAGUGACAAGACAACAUAAACAAAACAACAUCAUUAUUUCUAAAAGGAUUUAAUGAAAAACAACAAUUAUUUAUUAAAAAAAUCAAACAUUUAAUAUAAAAUGCACAAGUUCCAAUGCAAAUUUACUAUUUUGAAUUUAUUAACAUGUGCAAAUAACCAUAAACUUAUGCUUUUAAACAACUAUGUGACUGUCCGAUUAAAAUUGAACGAUUUAAAUUAAAAGCAAUUUAAUUGAAAAAAAAAACUACUUUAAAUUCGAUUUUACAUAUGAUAUUUUUUCUAAAUGUGAUCAUGCAUGUAAUCUAGAUCUAAAAUAUAUUAUAAAUAAUAUAUAAAAACAAAAAAAUCGAUUUUAAUAAAGAAAGAAAAAACAAACUUACCCAAACUAGAAAAGAUAACGGCUAGACCUAGAAUCUAGAACUUUCUAAUGCUGACUCAUCACACUGUCAGUGACAACAAAUUCAUUUCAAUCCCUAACUCUAUUUAUAUUAUUAUACUCUUUCAUCCAUACAUUCACUCACACCUCACUCACCGCUGCAUAUAUUCAAUUCAAACCCAUCACCCAUGUCUCUUGCAUCAUAAGCAAUUCUACUUUCAUCCUAUGUUUAUUAUUAAUCAUGAUUUCAUAGGUACAUUUUAUUUUUUAGAUACAUGAUUUUUAUUCUUUGCUAAUUAUAUUCAAAUUAAGUCUUUUAUUAUGAUGAAUUGGAUCUAGAUCUAUGUUUAUUAUUAAUCAUUAUAUCAUUUUGUGUUUGCAUAUGUGCACUAACAUAUACUAUUGAUUUGUUGUUUUUACCGUGAAACAAGUGAAGAUUUUUACGAUUUGUUCCGGUGAAAUGCUCAUUGUUGAUGAGUUUGCUACAACUGUGAUUUCUUUGAUUAGCCAACACAAUAUACCAGGUCCUUUUUGUGGCAUUAUUUAAUAUAAUUAUUUGAUUUAAGGGAAAGGAAAGAUAAUUUAUAUUAAUGUUGUGGGAAGAUUUUUGCUACAUUCAAAUGAAAAAAAUUGACGAAGGGUUUGGGUAGUAAGCAAUAGAUCCUGAGUUUGAUCCCCAAUUCAUUGUAAACAAAAAAAAUGCAAAAAAAUAAAAAACUAAAAUAGAAUUUUCACUGCGAUUUUUUCAACGGACAAAUUCAGAAUUAUACUUGAGUGAUUAACAUUGUUGUGUUUAUGAAUACUUUCAUAAUGUUAAAGGUGAUGACUAUAUAUAUAUAUUUUUUUUUAAUAAAUAAUAUUGUGUUGUGAACUAUGUAGUUCAAAUUAUGGUGAAUAAUGGUGAGAUAAAAUGUAAAACAUGUUCAUGCAUCAUUAUUAAGUCAUAACAUGUAAUUGGUGGAGAAUUUGGUGGAGUGGAUAAUCCGGUUAUAUGAACUGAUAUCCAAAAUUUGGUGGAGAUAAAAUGAUAUACCACAUGUAUUAGAGUUGCAUUAGGAAAUCCACGCAUAAUUGUUUUGAAUAUAUGUGAGGUGGAUAUAUGUAUUGGUUACUUGAUGAUUGUGCAUAUGAUAUUAUGAUGAAUGAAUAAAUGAUUAUUGUACGAAUUUAACUAAUGCCCAUCAUAUUUUGUUUAUUUACUUAACAUGGCUUGUAAUUAUAAUCUCACUCUUCUAUGGGUUUUGUAUCCGCAGGUAUUGAGCAAGAGUAGCUUUUGGUGAGCGUUAGCAAGGAUAAUGAAUGGAUUGUAUUCCAUUAGAUUCAACCCUAGGACCUUUUGUUUAGUAUUAAUCGAGUCCUUUGAUACUUGUAACACCGGAUUGAGUGUAAUUUAUUAGUUGAUGUUUUGAACUUAAUUAAAACUUGAAUUAUGUAUGAACUUGGUGAUGUAAUAGCUAUGACUAUAUUUAGCUUAUUUUGUAAGUCAUG
rnacentral:lncRNA from 1 species